rnacentral:rRNA from 1 species
AUUGAACGCUGGCGGCAGGCUUAACACAUGCAAGUCGAGCGGAGAUGAGGUGCUUGCACCUUAUCUUAGCGGCGGACGGGUGAGUAAUGCUUAGGAAUCUGCCUAUUAGUGGGGGACAACAUUCCGAAAGGAAUGCUAAUACCGCAUACGUCCUACGGGAGAAAGCAGGGGAUCUUCGGACCUUGCGCUAAUAGAUGAGCCUAAGUCGGAUUAGCUAGUUGGUGGGGUAAAGGCCUACCAAGGCGACGAUCUGUAGCGGGUCUGAGAGUAUGAUCCGCCACACGGGGACUGAGACACGGCCCAGACUCCUACGGGAGGCAGCAGUGGGGAAUAUUGGACAAUGGGCGGAAGCCUGAUCCAGCCAUGCCGCGUGUGUGAAGAAGGCCUUUUGGUUGUAAAGCACUUUAAGCGAGGAGGAGGCUACCUGGAUUAAUACUCUAGGAUAGUGGACGUUACUCGUAGAAUAGGCACCGGCUAACUCUGUGCCAGCCGCCGCCGUAACAC